AUAAUCAAGACGAAGAAGAAGUUCACCCUAUCUCCUAUCUCCUAUCUCCUAUCUCUUUCAUCUUCUCCGAUCUCGUCGUUUGCUUCCGAUCUCUUUGGAUUCCUCUUUUCCGUACGUCGUAGGUUGCUCGGCUAAUUGAUUUGUACACAUAGGGUCAUUGUUAUCUUCGCUUGUGAUGAUGAUGCGGACUGUCUCUCUACCACUCUCUCAUCAUAAGAUCCAUCAAGCUUCUGGAUACCAUAAUAGUAUUGCUUGUAAAAAUCGUGUGUAUUUAACACAGACACGUCUUUCAUCAUUUUCCACGAGACGAGACGUUUGGAGUCUUCAGCUUUUCGAGACCUUGCGUGGGUUCAAAGCCCCUGUAUCAUCUUGUAGUAAUGCAUUCGUUUGCCGAGCAGCUCUCUUUCCAGGGGGUGGAAGCCACGGCCCCAUUGUUAAAUCAACUGCACUAGUACUCACAAGGGCAUGUGAUGCUUUACAUGGAAAUCCUCAUUAAUGAAACUACUUUCAGCAGUUGCGAUUCUUGCAUUUGGUACAUGGGGAAUUAGGCCCCUCAUGGGCUUAACCAGAGCUACCUUGUUUGAGAAGGGAAAUGAUGCAAAUUCACAAAAGAGCAGCACACAAUACAUUGUUGUGUCAUAUCUUCAGCCUUUGCUGCUUUGGAGUGGAGCACUCCUUUUCUGCAGAACAUUGGACCCAGUAGUAUUGUCUUCAAGUGCCAGCCAAGCUGUUAAAACUCGCUUUCUUAGCUUUGCGCAGUCCAUGUCAACAGUGUUGGCAUUUGCCUGCUGUUUAUCAAGCCUACUUCAGCAGGUGCAGAAAUUUUUUAUGGAGACAAAUAAUCCAGCCGAUACCAGAAAUAUGGGUUUCAGUUUUGCUGGGAAGCUGUUUACACUGCUGCGUGGGUCGCUGCUGCUUCAUUGUUUAUGGAGCUUUUGGGUUUCUCUACCCAAAAAUGGCUAACAGCUGGAGGUCUGGGGACAGUACUGCUUACUCUCGCUGGUCGUGA